GACGGAGGGUGCUAGCGUUUGUUCGGAAUCACUGGGCGUAAAGGGCGCGUAGGCGGCCUCAGGUGUCGGAUGUGAAAGCCCGGGGCUCAACCCCGGAGGUGCAUCCGAAACUCUGGGGCUGGAGGUCGGAAGAGGAGGGUGGAAUACCCAGUGUAGAGGUGAAAUUCGUAGAUAUUGGGUGGAACACCGGUGGCGAAAGCGGCUCUCUGGUCCGGACCUGACGCUGAGGAGCGAAAGCGUGGGGAGCGAACAGG
rnacentral:rRNA from 1 species